rnacentral:rRNA from 1 species
GACGUAGGGCGCGAGCGUUGUCCGGAUUUAUUGGGCGUAAAGAGCUCGUAGGCGGCUUGUUGCGUCAGCUGUGAAAACCCGCAGCUCAACUGUGGGCUUGCGGUCGAUACGGGCAUCACUGGAGUUCGGCAGGGGAGACUGGAAUUCCUGGUGUAGCGGUGAAAUGCGCAGAUAUCAGGAGGAACACCGGUGGCGAAGGCGGGUCUCUGGGCCGAUACUGACGCUGAGGAGCGAAAGCGUGGGGAGCGAACAGG